UGUAUUCACUACUGUAAGUCGCUCUGGAUAAGAGUGUCUGCUAAAUGACGUAAA
rfam:Salmo salar isolate Sally breed double haploid chromosome ssa03, whole genome shotgun sequence.